CAUGACUCUUGGUUUUGCUCAUGGUAAAAAACGUCUCUUUUAUUUUACUGUCAUGUAAUAUUCUUUGUCCAAUCGCGUACUGCUGAAUGGAUCAACAUGUACAGUUUUUGCAGUUCAUUUGCUCAGGGUAUGGUGCGCUUGCUAGCAUGAUAAAUUGUUCUCAUGAUGGACGCAUGGACUCUACCAUUGGCAUCUUGGUACUUUAGUAACUUGCCUUCCCUUGAGUAUUUGGCUAUGGAUGCUUAGGUAAUGAACUAGAAAUUUGUUGCAGGUAUGCCUUCCAUACGGUAGUGCAUGAAUAUUGGUUCAAUUGGUGUCUGUAGUCACGUUUUACGUAUGCCUUAAUUUACAUGAUAUUGGUCUUGCAUCGUGAUGUAUUAUCUCAUAGUGUCUUACUGGUGCAUACAUUCUACAACGGAGUUCUUGCUUAGUCUGCCUCAUGAGUAAUGGUGGAUUUCAUGAUUGGAUUAAGCCUGGAUUAGUUCUGCAUCAUGGCCUAGCAUUGGUACAGCAUACUUGUUGCAUUAGUUUCUGGUUAUCCCGCAGAUGUUUCCCAUGCCAUUUACUUUGGGAAGCUUUGUUGUACUAUAAGUGACUUAAAACCAGAGAAACAUGCGGUUUGUACACUUGAGGCUUAGCCAUGAUUACCAACAAUCAAAUGCAGACUGGAUAGUAGAGCAUGGUUCUGGUUAUGAUGAUGGUAUUUUAUGCGUAUGCAGUAGGGUUGUUUAGCAACAUAUGAUACUGGCCUUGUUUUGUGUUGAACUUGAUUGAGUAAUGACCUCUGAACGCAAUUUGCUACAUAUGUAUGCUAGGUAAUUGAUUUGUUGGAUGGUGCAGGAUAUUGGCUACAGGGUUCCGUUGUUCUCCGUUUGUCUAUGCUUGCAACUUCUUGUCCUGUUCUUUAUUAGCGGCAUUUGGCUAUUAGUCUGUGAAGUUCAGAAACAUGAUUCCACGAUUGUCAUUGACAUCCAGCUUUAUGUGGUCAAACUGCUUUGGGUUCACAAUAAUUCUACAUAAGAUCCUGUAUGGUACUUGUAAGACCUGUGGUUUGCGCGUCUUUUGUCUUGUGCCCACCUGCUGGCUUAUGACAGUAGGUUGAAGCUUGCUAAAGAUCAAGGUGUGCUUAUGAUGCUGCAGACCUUACUCUUGCCAAAAGCAGGAUAUAUAUUAGACAACAUCACAUAAGCACCAGAAUUAUAAGGAUCCAAAUUCAAAAUGCUCCUAGCAGCCAGUUCCCCCAAUUUCACGUUUGAAUGGAUAUUACAGCCCACGAGGAGAGCACCCCAAAUGCUGGAAUCUGCCUUGAAUGGCAUCUCUUGGAUUAAUUCAUAAGCUCUCUUCAAUUGACCUGCUCGACUCAUAACAUCAACUAUACAAGAGUAGUGUUCAGACCUUGGCGGAAUACCAUAAUUAUGAAUGAUUAAGUAAAAGAUUCACGGUCUCAUCAACCUUCCCACCGUGACAACAGGCAGAUAGCAAAUUCAGGAAAGUUAUGCCAUCAGGUGUAACACCAAUUGUUACCGUAUGCCGACCUGGUUUUUCCUUUUAAUAGCGAUUCUUUUUAUGGUCUAGUGAUAACAAUGCAAAGUGUGACUACCUCCUUUAUAACUUUGGGUUAAGAGUGUGUGGUUGUUUUUAAUUGUGCAGGCGGCAAUAUGCCUGGCUUGCAACCUUUGGAAGAAACUAGCACAAGGAGUUUGUUAUGGUCAAUUGACCCGCUGUUUCCAGCUUGACAUGAAGUUAUGUAUUUGGAUCAUAGGCUAGGACUUUCCUUUUGGCAACUUGCAAACGGUUGUAACUCAUAUUUGUAACAAGUAUGAUUAAGAGGUGGAAUUGUUACGUAUGGACAUGUAUGUAUGGUUUUUCUAAUUGUAUGCAUUCCUAUAUGCUUGAAUAUUAGUAGUAAACAUGAUCAUGUUCAUUGUGGGUAAACACACCAGGGCUGACCUUGUAGAUAUGGUAUGAACAAGUAUAUCCACCUUAAGCAGGUAGACAUAGAACAAGACUGGCUUGGUUUAUGUCGAUAGAUGUAGGUUCGUGGAGUUGGGUCAAUGGAUCGACCGGAAGUCAACGGUUUGUAGAACUAGGCAAACUUGCAAUUCUUUGUUGUUCAUGGUCCUUGGAUAAUCAAUAUGUAAAUGACAUUUUGGUA